rnacentral:piRNA from 1 species
UACACAUAGUCUAUCAUUCAGCCAUUAGA